rnacentral:rRNA from 1 species
UGAAUACGAGACGCUAAGGCGUCGAAGUAGUGUAUGUCAUACUUCCAAGAAAAGCUUGCACUGUCAUAGAUAAAAAACGCCUGUACCAUAACCGACACAGGUGGGUAGGUAGAGUAUACUAAGGGGCGCGAGAUAACUCUCUCUAAGGAACUCGGCAAAAUAACUCCGUAACUUCGGGAGAAGGAGUGCCUUAUUCGUAAGGUUGCAAUAACAAGAUCCAAGCAACUGUUUAUCAAAAACACAGGUCUCCGCUAAGUCGUAAGACGAUGUAUGGGGGCUGACGCCUGCCCAGUGCCAGAAGGUUAAAGAAGUUGGUUAGCAAUUGCGAAGCUGAUAACUGAAGCCCUGGUGAACGGCGGCCGUAACGAUAACGGUCCUAAGGUAGCGAAAUUCCUUGUCGGGUAAGUUCCGACCCGCACGAAAGGCGUAAUGAUUUGGAUACUGUCUCGGAGAGGGGCUCGGUGAAAUAGACUUGUCUGUGAAGAUGCGGACUACCUGCACCAGGACAGAAAGACCCUAUGAAGCUUUACUGUAACUUGAAAUUGAAAUUGGACUUUAUUCGCGCAGUAUAGGUGGGAGGCGUUGAUUAUAAUCUUGUGGGAUUAUUGGAGCCAUCAGUGAGAUACCACUCUUGUAAUGUUAGAUUUCUAACUUUGAAUCAUUAUCUGGUCAAAGAACAGUUUCAGGCGGGCAGUUUGACUGGGGCGGUCGCCUCCUAAACGGUAACGGAGGCGUACAAAGGUUUCCUCUGAACGGUUAGAAAUCGUAUCUAGAGUGUAAAGGCAUAAGGAAGCUUGACUGUGAGACCUACAAGUCGAGCAGGGACGAAAGUCGGUCUUAGUGAUCUGACGGUACUGAGUGGAAAGGCCGUCACUCAACGGAUAAAAGUUACUCUAAGGAUAACAGGCUGAUCUCCCCCAAGAGUUCACAUCGACGGGGAGGUUUGGCACCUCGAUGUCGGCUCAUCGCAUCCUGGGGCGGUAGUACGUCCCAAGGGUUGGGCUGUUCGCCCAUGAAAGCGGUACGCGAGCUGGGUUCAGAACGUCGUGAGACAGUUCGGUCCAUAUCCGGUGUAGGCGUUAGAAUAUUGAGAGGAGCCUUCCUUAGUACGAGAGGACCGAGAAGGACAUACCUCUGGUGUACCAGUUAUCGUGCCAACGGUAAACGCUGGGUAGCUAUGUAUGGAGUGGAUAACCGCUGAAAGCAUCUAAGUGGGAAGCCCACCUCAAGAUAAG